rnacentral:rRNA from 1 species
UACGUAGGGUGCAAGCGUUGUCCGGAAUUAUUGGGCGUAAAGAGCUCGUAGGCGGUCUGUCACGUCGGCUGUGAAAACCCGGGGCUCAACCCCGGGCCUGCAGUCGAUACGGGCAGACUAGAGUGUGGUAGGGGAGACUGGAAUUCCUGGUGUAGCGGUGAAAUGCGCAGAUAUCAGGAGGAACACCGGUGGCGAAGGCGGGUCUCUGGGCCAUAACUGACGCUGAGGAGCGAAAGCGUGGGGAGCGAACAGG